CUGGGGAAGGUUGAGCAGAGAUGUUAUCUGAUGCACACGUUAAAGGCUCACUCUGGCUGUGGUUUGCAGGCAGGACAGAGAAGCGGCUGCUCUAACUGUCCAGGCGAGAGCUGGCGGUGACUUGGGCCAGGGUGGCAGCAGGAGGGGGUGGGAAUUCUGGCUGGAUUCUGGGCAGAGUUUUAAAGCUGUGCCAACAAGGAGGCAGGGUCUCUAAGCCGAGGAACGAACAGUCCGGGAGCUGCUAGAAGUCACCUGUACCACCUUCUUCGCGGUGGGGAAAGGCUUUCGAGAUACCUCGACGGCUCACCGCUAGCCACUCGACUUUCUUGGCUCCCGGGCAGGUGAAAUGGCCACGCGACCCACUCCCGGUCGGUGGGAGGAAAUGGUGAGUCUCCCGGCAGCUUCUGGGAAAAGGUCGGCUUCCCGGGGAAGAAGCUAGAGCGUCUCCAGGAGAAAGCGUUCGGCCCCUGCCUCUGGCUUUCCCAGUUUGCACACGGUGUGGCCAUGUGACGCCUGGAGCUGCGGUGACCGAGCAGCGGCAAGGGUGAUAAGGAAGAGCCAUCGCGCUGAGAACGGCGGAGCGGAAGGGUGGGAAGGGUCUGAGGGAAGGGUCUGCCGUGGCUGGGCCGCGGGAGGAGCCCCAGAACUGCUGCUUCCAGACGACUUCCUAAGUAAACAAUCCGCGUCCGUCUGGUUUCAGCAACUGUUCAUCCAGCGUCCGGCCGGUCACAGGCCCAAGGCUUCCUGACUAAUGCUCCCGCCACACCACCCCCUGGACCCAUUCAGACGUUCAGCAGACAUUUAAUCCAACGUUUCCUGAGUAUCCCCUGCACGCUGGCAUUUUAUCACGUCUGAUCUAACCCACCCAACAACUUUGGAACAUUCCCAUUGUCCCCGUUUGAGAGAUGAGGAAUGUGGGUACAUCGUAGCGAUUCUUGUCUGCUGUAGCAGAGAAAAACAAACCGUGCGGCUUCAUGCCAUAGAAGCGUAUUUUUUUUUUUCCCCUUUAAUAAAUCUUUUAAGUUUAUUUAUUUAUUUUGAGAAAGAGAGAGAACGGGAGCUGGGGAGGGGCAGAGAGAGAGAGAGAGAGAGAAGGAAUCCCAAGCAGCGUCCAUGCUGUUAGCACUGAACCCGACGCAGGGCUCAAUCUCACAGCUGUGAGAUCAUGACACGACCUGAAAUCAAGAGUCAGAUGCUUUACCGACUGAGCCACCCAGGCGUCCCUCGGCCACCUUCAAAGUGUGGCUCCUAAGUCAUCCCGGAUGCCAACAUCUGAUGGGCAGACAUGGGCAGAACACGGGUGGAGGGUCACACAGAGGCCUCACGGUCCUGAGCUGGGUGGGAUGGGCAUCCCUUCUGCCCACACGUGUUCACUAGCUGCACCCCCGAGCAUAGGAGGCUGGAACAUGGUGUCCAGCUACUUCUGCGGGCCCAAGAGGGGAGGGAUGAGGGUCUGCUGGGCAGUUUGUCAGUCCCUGCUAGGUGGGGCUCAGGGGGACUGUGUAACUCACCCAGGAGACUCUCAGAUGAGCCAGAGGGGAGGGGGAGACCGCGCCUGCUUUGUGUCCUCAGGUGUCCAGAAGUCCAGGGCUGCUGGCUAAGCCAGGCACGGCCCCGGGACCAGUCGUCAGCAAAUAGGGAUGCCCUUUCUAGCCUGGAAUAUUGGGGGCAUAUUCUUCCUCCCGCCUUUACUCAUCUCCAGGCAGAGAUGAGUAACAUUUUACAGCCUGUGGUUAGCACUUCCGUUCUACAUGCUUGACUUACAGAGGCAAGGCUGUCUGCAGUAGACUGGAGAAGACAGGACGGGGAAAUGGGAUCCAGGUCUGGCGCCGGGGGCAGGCCCUCAGUUUCCCUGUCUUCAAAGGGCACUGAUUCUUCGUCCCUCACUGUUGCUGGGGCCGGUGGUGAGGCAGUUAGUGC